rnacentral:rRNA from 1 species
GACGAACGCUGGCGGCGUGCUUAACACAUGCAAGUCGAACGGAAAGGCCCUGCUUUUGUGGGGUGCUCGAGUGGCGAACGGGUGAGUAACACGUGAGUAACCUGCCCUUGACUUUGGGAUAACUUCAGGAAACUGGGGCUAAUACCGGAUAGGAGCUCCUGCUGCAUGGUGGGGGUUGGAAAGUUUCGGCGGUUGGGGAUGGACUCGCGGCUUAUCAGCUUGUUGGUGGGGUAGUGGCUUACCAAGGCUAUGACGGGUAGCCGGCCUGAGAGGGUGACCGGCCACAUUGGGACUGAGAUACGGCCCAGACUCCUACGGGAGGCAGCAGUGGGGAAUAUUGCACAAUGGGCGGAAGCCUGAUGCAGCAACGCCGUGUGCGGGAUGACGGCCUUCGGGUUGUAAACUCCUUUCGCUAGGGACGAAGCUUUUUGUGACGGUACCUAGAUAAGAAGCACCGGCUAACUACGUG